rnacentral:rRNA from 1 species
CGCCUCUUGUUAAACAAUAAGAGGUCUAGCCUGCCCAGUGACAAAUUUAACGGCCGCAGUACCCUAACUGCGCGAAGGUAGCAUAAUCACUUGUUCUUUAAAUAAGGACUAGUAUCAACGGCAUCACGAGGGUUGCACUGUCUCCUUUAUCUAAUCAGUGAAACUGAUCUCCCCGUGAAAAAGCGGGGAUCUACCCAUAAGACGAGAAGACCCCAUGGAGCUUUAAACCUACAGCAACUCAACUAAAUAACCCUACACAAUUAUAGAGAUAUGCCUGUUGGCUUUAGGUUGGGGUGACCGCGGAGUAAAAAUUACCCUCCAUAAUGCAAAGAUCUAAAUCUUUAUUCAAGAGCUACUACUCUAAAAAUUAGCAUACUAAUAUACACUGACCCGAUAAUCGAUUAAUGAACCAAGUUACCCUGGGGAUAACAGCGCAAUCUAUUUCAAGAGUUCAUAUCGACAAAUAGGCUUACGACCUCGAUGUUGGAUCAGGGUAUCCCAGUGGUGUAGAAGCUACUGAAGGUUCGUUUGUUCAACGAUUAAAACCCU